UGAGCAUCAGUGAUGAGUAAACCUUUUGUUAUCCUUGCACUUUGAUUGCUAGUGAAGAAAACUACGGGGACUACUGACUCUAAGAUGCUU